AGUUUAAUUUCUCAUUUUUAAUAAGGUGUACCGUGUCAUCGGGACAAGCUGUUGCUUUGGCAGUAAGAAGCAGAAAACCGGAGGAUAAUGUAGGCAGGUUGGUACAGACACCAAAAAGUGGUGGUGAGUGGUGGCUCUUAAGGCUGCAGGUCUGCUGUCACUUCACUGCUUUCAC
rnacentral:lncRNA from 12 species